rnacentral:rRNA from 1 species
GUCUAUGGCCAUGCCACCCUGAACAAGCCCGAUGUCUGAUCUUGGAAGCUAAGUAGGGUCGGGCCUGGUUAGUACUUGGAUGGGAGACCACCUAGGAAGACCAGGUGCUGUAGGCA